GACAGAGGGUGCAAACGUUGUUCGGAAUUACUGGGCGUAAAGCGCGUGUAGGCGGCCAUACAAGUCGGAUGUGAAAUCCCGCGGCUUAACCGUGGAAGUGCACCCGAAACUGUAUCGCUAGAGUCCCGGAGAGGAUGGUGGAAUACUUGGUGUAGAGGUGAAAUUCGUAGAUAUCACGUGGAACACCGGUGGCGAAGGCGGCCAUCUGGACGGUGACUGACGCUGAGACGCGAAAGCGUGGGUAGCAAACAGG
rnacentral:rRNA from 1 species